GGGAACUUGGCGCCGUGCUUACCAUGCAAGUCGAACGGUGAAGAGGAGCUUGCUCCUUGGAUCAGUGGCGAACGGGUGAGUAACACGUGAGCAAUCUGCCCUUGACUCUGGGAUAACUGCGGGAAACUGUAGCUAAUACCGGAUAUUACCUUGGAAGGCAUCUUCUGGGGUGGAAAGAAUUUUGGUCAAGGAUGAGCUCGCGGCCUAUCAGCUAGUUGGUGAGGUAAUGGCUCACCAAGGCGACGACGGGUAGCCGGCCUGAGAGGGUGACCGGCCACACUGGGACUGAGACACGGCCCAGACUCCUACGGGAGGCAGCAGUGGGGAAUAUUGCACAAUGGGCGCAAGCCUGAUGCAGCAACGCCGCGUGAGGGACGACGGCCUUCGGGUUGUAAACCUCUUUUAGUAGGGAAGAAGCGACUGGGUUUUCCUGGGAGUGACGGUACCUGCAGAAAAAGCACCGGCUAACUACGUGCCAGCAGCCGCGGUAAUACGUAGGGUGCAAGCGUUGUCCGGAAUUAUUGGGCGUAAAGAGCUCGUAGGCGGUUUGUCGCGUCUGCUGUGAAAACCCGAGGCUCAACCUCGGGCCUGCAGUGGGUACGGGCAGACUAGAGUGCGGUAGGGGAGAUUGGAAUUCCUGGUGUAGCGGUGGAAUGCGCAGAUAUCAGGAGGAACACCAAUGGCGAAGGCAGAUCUCUGGGCCGUAACUGACGCUGAGGAGCGAAAGCAUGGGGAGCGAACAGGAUUAGAUACCCUGGUAGUCCAUGCCGUAAACGUUGGGAACUAGAUGUGGGGACCAUUCCACGGUCUCCGUGUCGCAGCUAACGCAUUAAGUUCCCCGCCUGGGGAGUACGGCCGCAAGGCUAAAACUCAAAGGAAUUGUCGGGGGCCCGCACAAGCGGCGGAGCAUGCGGAUUAAUUCGAUGCAACGCGAAGAACCUUACCAAGGCU
rnacentral:rRNA from 1 species